rnacentral:rRNA from 1 species
CGGGGAUUAGUGGCGAACGGGUGAGUAACACGUGGGCAAUCUGCCCUGCACUCUGGGACAAGCCCUGGAAACGGGGUCUAAUACCGGAUAUGACUGUCCAUCGCAUGGUGGAUGGUGUAAAGCUCCGGCGGUGCAGGAUGAGCCCGCGGCCUAUCAGCUUGUUGGUGAGGUAGUGGCUCACCAAGGCGACGACGGGUAGCCGGCCUGAGAGGGCGACCGGCCACACUGGGACUGAGACACGGCCCAG